rnacentral:rRNA from 1 species
GUAGCAAACUAAGAAUACUAGGCAUUGCUUUCCGUUAACCAGUGAGACAGUGGGGGAUAAGCUCCAUUGUCGAGAGGGAAACAGCCCAGAUCACCAGCUAAGGCCCCAAAAUGACCGCUAAGUGGUAAAGGAGGUGAGAAUGCUGAAACAACCAGGAGGUUUGCUUAGAAGCAGCCACCCUUUAAAGAGUGCGUAAUAGCUCACUGGUGGAGCGUUCUUGCGCCGAAAAUGAACGGGACUAAGCGGUCUGCCGAAGCUGUGGGUAACAUCAAAAAACAAAGAAAAGACUUAACAUCUGACAUCAGACACCUUUUCAAGGUGUGAAAAGAAGAUUUGCUUCUAACAUUCUUUCCCUAACAUCCCUUUAGGGAUGUCUGAAUGUCUGACACUUUUUCAAAGUGUUAAAGAAGUGAUGUCAAAUCAGACAUCAGUGACAAAAGGAAAGCUUUUGUUAGCCCAGACAAAACCUUCGGUUUUGUUAAGGGUGUUAAAAGAAGAUGUUAGAAUAACAAACUUUCAGUUUGUUAAAUGUCUGACAUCUAACAAAAUUGUAAAUGUUGAAAAGUUCAAUUUGAUGUUACGGUAGGGGAGCGUUCCGCUCUAGGGUGAAGCUCCAACGUAAGUUGGUGUGGACAAAGCGGAAGUGAGAAUGUCGGCUUGAGUAACGAAAACAUUGGUGAGAAUCCAAUGCCCCGAAAACCUAAGGCUUCCUCCACUAGGCUCGUCCAUGGGGGGUUAGUCGGGACCUAAGGCCAGGCCGAAAGGCGUAGUCGAUGGAAAACAGGUUAAUAUUCCUGUACUUCUUUUUAAGUGGUACCGAGGGACGAAGGAGGGAACGGUUGGUCAAUAUUGGAUGUUGACGGAAAUGUUCAAGGUGAUGAGAGAUAGAAUAAAAACUAUUCUUGAGCUGAGACAUGAUACGAUUUUAUUCCCUGUAAGAGAGCUUGCUCAAUUCAAAGUAAAAUUCAAUUAGUUGUCAAACUUCCUAGAAAAGCUCGAACUUCCAAUACUUAAAAAUAACCCGUACCCGAAACCGACACAGGUAGGUAGGUAGAGUAUACCAAGGGGCGCGAGAUAACUCUCUCUAAG